AAAUAUGCCAGCAGCAUUUUAAGGAGACAGAUUUUCAGAUUCGUUGCCGGAUCGGGUUGAAGGAAAGUGCUGUUCCAUCAGUGAAAAUUCCUUUGCUCACGCCUAAAGUGAACCCGAAUGGAGUAUGUUGCGUCAAAGGAUGUACCACAAAGAGGAGGACAACUCUACAACCGUUUCCGACCCGGCUAACCAUGUUUCGGCGGUGGAAACGAGUUUUGGCAAUACCAAAUGAUAUGGCUGUGGGAAAAUUCAAAAUUUGCCUGCGGCAUUUCAAAGUGCAGGAUCGUUGUAAAGUCACCUCUACCUACCUUAAGUCGAAUGCAAUCCCAUCUAGGCAAAUUAAGAGAUUGCCAAAACGUCAGAAAACCUCACAGGUCACAAUAAAGCCUCCGCUGUCUCAUCUUUGGGAUCACAACUACUGUUUGUUUUACAAACCUAAAUCAAAGACCAACACCAUUUGCUAUGUGAGCGGAUGUUAUUCUAGAGUGAAAAAUGGCACAAGAUUACAUCGAUUCCCGGCCAAAGGAACUAAGCG